GCGGUAGUAGCUCAAUUGGUAGAGUAUCGGCCUUCCAAGCCGAGGGUUGCGAGUUCGACUCUCGUCUACCGCUCCA
rnacentral:tRNA from 2 species